UUCCAAGACCCAGGGAGGUGUGGAGGGACCUCCCGGCACCUGUGGGGUGUGGAGGCGUGCAGGCCCCUCCAGGAGUGGAGAAGGGUUGCUGUGAGCUAAUUAAGGAAUGGAAGUAAUGCUGCAAACCCGUGAAUGGAAAAAACAGAUAAUUAAUAAACAUCACAACAGAGAAAACAGCCCAUGUCAGAGAAUAACACAGUCUAAGAAUGAAGGAUGCUCACAAAUACCACUCUUGGCUGAAGACAUUUCCUUCUGACACUGUGCACCUGCAGAGAGUCCUCCAAACCCUAAGGACAUGACUCUACCAGGCAGGCGUGAGCCUGGCUUGACCAAGCAGAGCUGUUUUGGAUCCUUCUGCUGAAAUCCAUUUCCCAGGGCUGGAGAAUGCUUGCUUGGAUGACUCCAGC